GAGAUCCUUCUUCCUCAACUGGGCUGACAGUUUGUUAGUAACAUUUUGGACUAAAAUUGUGUACCUCCCUGUUGGAGCAUUUGGUUUUUUCUUUUGUCCGUUGUGGUUUUGUCUUUUCCCUCCUUUUCCUCCAACAUUGCCUUCUGCAGCAAUCUUCUGCUCAGCUUUCUUGUUUCUUGGAGCCUUUUGCCUUUCACCUCUCUUACUUCCCGCUGUCGCCUUUUUUGAAACAUGGAUCCAAGGGCCUUCCCCUUCUUCCUCUCUAUCAACCCUUUCUGCUUGUGACACGUCUUGCCCUAAAAUUUUGUCCUCAUCGGCAUCCCCUGUACUCCCGCCGUUCUUGGUUAUCUCCAUGAUUGUUCUUUUCUGGGGGCACCUUUCUUCUCCAUGGCCAAUGGAGCUGCAUUGGUGGCAAAAUUUAGGUGUGUCUUCGUACUGUAUGGUUUGUUUGAACGCUCCUAACCAUACGGCUUCCUUCCUCUGUUUUGCCAAGUCCAGCAAAAUCUGAAUUCUGGCAAACCUUACCCUGUUUUGCUCAAUUGCAUUCAUGUCUGUUUUGAUGAAGGCCCCAAUUUCAUUCGCAAUUCGGUGCAGGAUUGGUUUGGUGUGGAAUUCUAUUGGUAAUUCCGGUAGCGAGACCCAAACUGGGGCUUUUGAAAUAAUCGCUUCCGAUGGUUUAAAGCCUGGUGUCCAAGGUUGGACAAGGAGCAUAUGGCCUGCAACAAACCACGGUCCCUUCGAGAGUAUACCUUCUCUUGCCUCCUCCGAGAGUAUGGUGACAUUGUAAAACCCUUUCCCUAGUGCUAUGAAUUGCAGGGGUGGGGUGAUUUUCCAGAUUCUUUGAAGGGAUGACUUCAAAUAAUCAAUUGAGAAUGACUUCCCUAUUGCCUUCACAAUGAGGGAGCUUACCCAUUUCUCCGAGAUUGUUGACGCAUCUUCCUGGUUUAAGCUGAUGAAUGCUUCUGUGCUCUCAUCAUAGUUGGGUGGAGGGGUGGUGGAGACAAUGUUCAUUAGUUGGUUGAGGUUGGUAGCCGGAUGGGUGUGCUGCUGGUUUUUGUUUUGUAGCAUUUCUGCAUAGGUUGGUUUGUGGGUUUGGGAUUGGGAUUGGUUUUGGGGUUGGGUUUGGUCAGGGUGGGGAUGGAGGUUGAUGGUGGUUGAGUAGUGUGCUAGCUGAACCUGUGCUUCUUUGGCGGGAUCCGGUGGCUGUGGAGGGGGCUCUCUCUCUCGCUCUCUCGCUCUCUCUCUAGCAUUUUUUUUUUUUACUUGUCAUUCUUACUAAUUUUUUUCGCUCAAAACUUUUCGCUCACAAUUUUUUCGCUUAGAAAUUUCAGUUCCCUCCACACUGCCUUCCCUCUUCUCAAUUAGGGUUAAGAUUAGUUUUCUCUCAUCCUCCAAUGCUCCAUAGGUGACACCAGUUGAUACCAAAAUCUUGAACUCAGAAGCGCGGGCUUCUAGGAGAGGGUGUGAACAAUUUGCGCAAACAUUGAUCGGGUUUUUCAUCCUUGAUUCUUAACCUGAUUUCACGAAACUCCAUUCCAGCGGUUUUUCAAGAGAAAACAAAUUCGCCAUUCUCUGAUGAUUUUACGAAGCAUAUCAGUUCAUUUCAUAUUCAUCUUUAGCUGACUCAAGCUCUUCAUUGGCCUUCUGAAGCAUAUCCUGAAGCUGACGAUUCUGCAUUCGUAAUUCACUAGCUUCAGUCAACGCUUUGCUAGCAAGAUUCUCAUUAGCAUCAAAUGACGGCUGCAUUUGUGAGGACAGUCUUUUGAAUUCAUCUUGAAUUCUUGCAGCUGUAUUAGAAUUUUUCCACCUCAUCAAUCUCAGGGUUCUUCUGCCCGUAUUGCUCGCUGCUCCUGCUCCACUUUGGCAUGAGUAACCGCCUCAAGAUCAGCUUCAAACCCUUCUGCUUGUUACUCUAGAUCUUCUUCAAGGUUCUGGACAUGAGCUUCAAGUUCCUUUACUGAAGCCAAAUUAUCAGAAGACUUUUCUGACUACUUUUUGAGUUCUUUCUCCAGUUUCUUGCUGGUGCUGUAAAAUCAAUUCCAUCAGCUUCUCUAAUACACUCCAUCAGUCGAACUUUUGGAUUCCGAUCGAAGUUCCUCUUCUCCUCUCUCCUACCUAUGGUUGACAGAGUCCAGACUCCUGUAAUUCGUUUAGGAUGAUGAUACUUCGGCAUGGGGGUCGUGAAAAGCAAAGCUUAGGUAGCAACGCAUAAGGACGUUAUUACGGGGUAGUGUACAACCAAGUUCCAGAGCCACCGACGGAAAUGCCGGUAACAGUGCCUCAAACACCAGACGAAACACCAGCUCGCUGCUCCCGCGUGGACGAGUUGACUCACUGUCGUAGAGAUCUUCGAUACCAUGUUUGAUAAAAUGUUAGGCAUUAUAGGCUUAUUGCACCAAAUACAUAUGGAAAUUCCCUUUUCCAUGGAUUCCCUUGUACAUCUUUGUUAUUCUUUUCAUCCACCUCUGAGUGUUUCGUCUAACCCCAAAGAGUCGGUUUGUUUAUGGUUUCUAAUUAAUGGAUUGGUUGUCUACUGUAGAGUUCAAUUACUUUUGCUGAUGGUUGGUAUGUUGGUUUCUGAUUAAUGGAUUAGUUCAAUUCCUUUGCUGA